rnacentral:rRNA from 1 species
GAUGAACGCUGGCGGCGUGCCUAAUACAUGCAAGUCGAGCGAACAGACGAGGAGCUUGCUCUUCUGACGUUAGCGGCGGACGGGUGAGUAACACGUGGAUAACCUACCUAUAAGACUGGGAUAACUUCGGGAAACCGGAGCUAAUACCGGAUAAUAUAUUGAACCGCAUGGUUCAAUAGUGAAAGGCGGUUUUGCUGUCACUUAUAGAUGGAUCCGCGCCGCAUUAGCUAGUUGGUAAGGUAACGGCUUACCAAGGCGACGAUGCGUAGCCGACCUGAGAGGGUGAUCGGCCACACUGGAACUGAGACACGGUCCAGACUCCUACGGGAGGCAGCAGUAGGGAAUCUUGCGCAAUGGGCGAAAGCCUGACGGAGCAACGCCGCGUGAGUGAUGAAGGUCUUCGGAUCGUAAAACUCUGUUAUUGGGGAAGAACAAAUGUGUAAGUAACUAUGCACGUCUUGACGGUACCUAAUCAGAAAGCCACGGCUAACUACGUG